rnacentral:rRNA from 1 species
CUAAGCCAUGCGAGUCAUUGUAGCAAUACAAGGCAGACGGCUCAGUAACGCGUAGUCAACCUAACCUAUGGACGGGAAUAACCUCGGGAAACUGAGAAUAAUGCCCGAUAGAACACUAUGCCUGGAAUGGUUUGUGUUCCAAACGAUUUAUCGCCGUAGGAUGGGACUGCGGCCUAUCAGUUUGUUGGUGAGGUAAUGGCCCACCAAGACUAUUACAGGUACGGGCUCUGAGAGGAGUGGCCCGGAGAUGGGUACUGAGACACGGACCCAGGUCCUAUGGGGCGCAGCAGGCGAGAAAACUUUGCAAUGUGCGAAAGCACGACAAGGUUAAUCCGAGUGGUUUCUGCUAAAGAAACCUUUUGUCGGUCCUAGAAACACCGAUGAAUAAGGGGUGGGCAAGUUCUGGUGUCAGCCGCCGCGGUAAAACCAGCACCUCAAGUGGUCAGGAUGAUUAUUGGGCCUAAAGCAUCCGUAGCCUGCUUUGUUAGUUUUCGGUUAAAUCUGUACGCUCAACGUACAGGCUGCCGGGAAUACUGCAAAGCUAGGGAGUGGGAGAGGUAGACGGUACUCGGUAGGAAGGGGUAAAAUCCUUUGAUCUAUUGAUGACCACCUGUGGCGAAGGCGGUCUACCAGAACACGUCCGACGGUGAGGGAUGAAAGCUGGGGGAGCAAACCGGAUUAGAUACCCGGGUAGUCCCAGCUGUAAACCAUGCAAACUCAGUGAUGCAUUGGCUUGUGGCCAAUGCAGUGCUGCAGGGAAGCCGUUAAGUUUGCCGCCUGGGAAGUACGUACGCAAGUAUGAAACUUAAAGGAAUUGGCGGGGGAGCACCACAAGGGGUGAAGCCUGCGGUUCAAUUGGAUUCA